UACGAAGGGGGCUAGCGUUGCUCGGAAUCACUGGGCGUAAAGCGCACGUAGGCGGAUCUUUAAGUCAGGGGUGAAAUCCUGGAGCUCAACUCCAGAACUGCCUUUGAUACUGGGGAUCUCGAGUCCGGAAGAGGUGAGUGGAACUCCGAGUGUAGAGGUGAAAUACAUAGAGAUGUCAUAGAACACCGAUUGCGAAGGCAGCUCACAAAACUGUAACUGACACUGAGGCUCGAAAGUGCGGGGAUCAAACAGG
rnacentral:rRNA from 1 species